AUUGAACGCUUGCGGCAGGCCUAACACAUGCAAGUCGAGCGAGCGGCGGACAGGUGUGUACUGUCUGUGAAACUGCCUGAUGGAGGGGGAUAACUCCUGGAAACGGUAUCUAAUACCGCAUACCAUCAGAUGUGCCCAGAUGUGAUUUGCUAGUAGGUGGGGUAACGGCGCACCUCGGCGACGAUCCCUAGCUGGUUUGAGAGGAUGACCAGCCAAACGGGAACUGAGACACGGUCCAGACUCCUACGGGAGGCAGCAGGGGGGAAUAUUGCACAAUGGGAGCAAGCCUGAUGCAGCCAUGCCGCGUGUGUGAAGAAGGCCUUCGGGUUGUAAAGCACUUUCAGCGGGGAGGCGUUACCCGCAGAAGAAGCACCGGCUAACUCCGUGCCAGCCGCCGCGGUAAUAC
rnacentral:rRNA from 1 species